rnacentral:rRNA from 1 species
AGUGAACGCUGGCGGUAGGCCUAACACAUGCAAGUCGAACGGCAGCACAGUAAGAGCUUGCUCUUACGGGUGGCGAGUGGCGGACGGGUGAGGAAUACAUCGGAAUCUACAUUUUCGUGGGGGAUAACGUAGGGAAACUUACGCUAAUACCGCAUACGACCUACGGGUGAAAGCAGGGGAUCUUCGGACCUUGCGCGAUUGAAUGAGCCGAUGUCGGAUUAGCUAGUUGGCGGGGUAAAGGCCCACCAAGGCGACGAUCCGUAGCUGGUCUGAGAGGAUGAACAGCCACACUGGAACUGAGACACGGUCCAGACUCCUACGGGAGGCAGCAGUGGGGAAUAUUGGACAAUGGGCGCAAGCCUGAUCCAGCCAUACCGCGUGGGUGAAGAAGGCCUUCGGGUUGUAAAGCCCUUUUGUUGGGAAAGAAAAGCAGCAGGUUAAUACCCCGCUGUUCUGACGGUACCCAAAGAAUAAGCACCGGCUAACGUCG